ACAGAUAAAAUAAUAGUUGUAACAUCAGCAGUUGCACUAGCUGGAGUUUCAUUAUUGGCAAGCAUCGUUUAUGUGGGAAUUUAUACAAAGGAAUAAAAGGUUGCCGCACGUCUCCCGAAGUCUUCUGAUCCAUCUCAUCCACCUGGUCCUGGUAAUUGUAAAUCUCACCUCUUUUUAGUUAUACUUCUCCGGUCUUUCUUUUGUUGUGUCUUUGCUCUUUUCAAAUUUCAAGUUUAAAUUACCUUUUCAGUUAAGUCAACCGUAGAAUUUUUUUGGCAUUAGGGAGGCAUAGCUGCUAUCUCGCUAUCUGCAAACGUAUUCAACAAGACAUAAUGUUCUUGAAAAUUCUACUAUUGGCACCCCCAACGCAGCCCACAUCAUCUUGGUACAGAGACGGUUUUCCCUUUUCCAAAACAGGCUGCACUUAUCAUCUGAGAACCUUCGGAGCUCUUUGAGAAAGGUUUCCUCUUUUAUUAACUUAAUGUUGCCAAUGUGUUCCCUCUGCCAAUGUGUACAAACCGAGUCUGUCUUUGAACAUCUUUUGUAUUUUGUUUGCCAGCUGCAAGUCACCAAGUUCGACCAACUCAACCCCACGACAAGUUAAACAAAGGAAAAAGUAUGCAAUCCUUCGCCCAUUUCUCAAAAAGUAAGCCCGCUCUUUCCAUUAUGUUUUCGUAUGGCCUAUUUAUCGUCGCAUUGUUGUAUAUUUUGCAUUAUUACUAAUUUAACAUUGCCAAUCUAUUUUCUCUAACAACGUGUAUAACACUUAACUUAUCUAACUUUGCCUACUUACAUUUUAACUUCAACCUUUAAACAUGUUAUGUAUUUUGAUUACUAGCUGCCAGCCGCGAUGUCAGACUCAAUUCCUGCGCAAUUUAGAUAAAGGAAAGCAAGUAUGCAGCCUAUUCACUAUCUUUGAAACAGGUAAUCCAGCUCUUUGCCUUAUAUUUUUCAGUAUGGCAUAUUGAUCAUCACUUUAUUGUAAAUUGUGAUUGUUUGCACAUAAGGGUGCAUGUUGGAUGUGUCUACUCAGCAUUAUGCGGCCUUAAAUACAGUUCCAAUCGAAAGGUUUGUGCUAAAUUGAUACUCCAAUAAUAUCUACUUCACCUAUUACUGAACAGCGAAGCGAGUAAUAUGAUUCUAAAAAAAGUUCCUAACUGUUCAUAUUGUGGCACACAAAAAUUUGAAUACAAAAGAAGAAUCUAAACAUUUUCGAACAUAGAUUAGAACAUACAAUAAUAUGUUGAACACAUUGCUUGGUGUGAAGUACGAUAAAAAAAAUUGUGAAAAGAAAUUGUGGUAUGUACAGAUUUAGAGAACAAGGACAUAUGUAUCAUUUCAUAGAUGAUUUAGUCGCUUCCAACGAAAAACCCAACAACUUACAAUUAUACUUUUCUGAUCAUGAGAAUGAAUUGGCUAGCAGAAUGGCCAAAAAACCCCAAACUAUUAGAGGCAAGGCUAAUGACAAAAAGGGUCUAAGAAGUCAUGGUACUUACUCCCUCUGUUUCAUCUUCGAUUUACUUAAACUAAUACUCAUUAUUAUAUAAUUAAAGUUUAAAGUUACAAUUUAUGAGUGCAGUAAUUUUAAUAGCAUCAAUUGUUGAGAUUUUUACUGGUAAAACAAAAUACAUACUAAAAUACUUUAGCAGUACAAAAAGAAAUAUCUAUUCAUAAUAUCUUGAGAUUGUUUCCUAUUAAGCUAUUCAAAGAAGGAAACAGUGUGAUUGACUUGUCUUUUUGUUUACCUAUUUUGAUUAAAAUAAAGAUAUUCUCCUUCACUCCACAUUAUCAUUUUACUUAACAAAAGAAACAAUAACUUGUGUACCGAAAGAGGUACCAUUUUCUCAUGAAUUUAUCUUGAGUUGAGAUUCUUUGGUCAAUUUUAUCCAAUUUUGCUAACAGCAGUCCAUUUUCAAUCUUAAAUUGGUUAAAAUACAGCAACGGAAUUGGGUAUUUAUUUAAGGUGACAAUGUAUAUUAUUUAUUAAACUCUUAUGUUUUAUUGUGCUUUCUAUUCUGGCUUUGAAAUUUGGGGCUAAGAAAAAGGUUGGGAUGUUCAUUGUUCAAGUAAUUUGAGAUAUUAGACGAUGCUAUUGAUGUAAUGAAAUUGGAAGAUGCUGUAAUUCAAAACAUGGUAAAGUCUCUGAUUUGUGUUCACAAGUUGCAAUCCUUGAUUGUUUUUCAUUGUAUUGGGUUAUUUUUCAUAAUAUUGGCAAUUUUGACAAAUGUACAAUGAUUUUAACUCCACUAUGUACAUACUUGGUCACCCAUGGAAGAAGUGUGAAAAGAUAAUUCAGCAAUUAUUUGGAAACCUUUCCUCAUGUUGGGAACCAAAAUGAGGUACAAGAAGCAAUGUAAAGUGUACUUCAAACAGAACUUGAGUUGUACGAGUAGGGUUAAAAUAGGAAAUUCACUUUAUUCACUCUCUCACCUCUGCUUCUACUCUUUCUUCUCUGGCUGACAACAUUGACAGCCAUUUUAAACCUUCAACGGAGUUAAACUUUGCUUCAGAGUCUCACUCCAACUUCUCAAGUUCGUUCAAUUGUUUACCUGGUAAGUAUUCUUGUGUGGUAUUGACCCUCUUCCCUUGUGAAUUUUAACUCUUUUUUUCCCAUUAUUGUGUUUAUGCUUCCUAUUAUUUUACUGAUUUUUCUUAUUUAUAGGUCUUCCACAAUUUUUCUCGGAUUCUUUUGAGUUCAGAUAGAUGCCUCUUGAAAUACAUGCAUAAUUUGUUUUCAAUAUUUUGCAGUUUCUAGCUCUAAAAUACUAAAAAAUAUUAGUAGUAUUUUCUUAUCAAUAUAUGAUACUUUUUGUAGAUAAUUAAUGGCUUGAUGCGGUAGCAUGUUUGCCGGAAUUUCCUGUGAAGGUAAGACUUGUGUGUUAUGAAGAGAGAUUAGUUACAAGAGUUGAUUGUUUUGGCAGAUGAUUGAAGGUGCUAAUGAAGUUGAACGGUGGGCUUAGGUGAAUAGACAUUUUCCCUUGUAAUAUCUUUUUUUCAUAUGGUAUUUUCCCCAAAAAAUAUUGAGUAAGAAUUUGAGUUGCCGAAUUCUUUGAUGCUGCCAUGAAAUUAGAAGUGAUAACGUAAUGCUGAAAAUUCUGGGUAAGCUUUCAGUAUUGAUCUUUUUGUUGUUUGAACUACAUUUUUGAAAAAAUUCAACUACUAAUAUAGUAAGUUGAGGUGAUAUUCAAAGACAAAUUGUUUAAAUACAAAGUCAGAAUAACAAGCAGGUUGAAUCAGGUGAAAAGGUUCAUUUCUGGCUCUCCAAUUUCCAAGUCCUUUAAGGUACCAUUCCACAUUUUCUUAAGAACAUUUAAACUUUUGCCAAUGAAUCGUGAUGUUGGUGUUGCAUUUAUUUUUACCAGUUCUUGGAUAAAAGCUGAAACUUUAAUAUUGAAAAUUCUGUUACUGGAUUGAGUUCUAGAAGUCUGUCAUAUCAUCUUAUGCUUUCUCAAAAUUUUUGUUUCAUGUGUUCAUAACAAACGAUUGUAAAACCCUUCUAAUGUUAUGCAUUUAUAUUUAUUUUUCACAAAUAUAUAUCAAGUAAAAGUGAUCUUUUGCUAUGUCUUUUUUCCUGUUUCUUGUAGGCCGCAUGAAAAUAUGCCUUCGGUUUGGAUUGAGUCGGGAAUGAUACGAAUGAUAUGAUUCCCUCUGCUGACUAUAAGAAGCAUAUUCUAUUUCUCCAUUUGUAUGAGUAAAUUCUAUCAUUUCUUUGAGAUAUAAAAUUAUAAGCUAUGUAUCAAUGUUAUUUUGGACAUUUCAUUUUUAUAGGAAAUGCACUGAUGGUAGCAGCAUGUGCUGCUAUAGUUUCAUAUUUUAACUCUUUAUUGUUUUCCCUACUGAAUUUCCCUUUCAGAUUCAAGUGAUGAUUCAAUAUGAUGACACUGUUGUUAAAUCAAAAUUUAUCUUUUUUAGCCAAGUAGACUGAGUAUUGACAUUUUAAUUAUGUUGCCUAAUUGAUAGUAGUAUUUAUUUGAUGUCUGUCUUCCCCAUGCUAUAAAUAUGACAUAGAAGUUUUAUGAAAGAGACAUAAUGAGAAGUGGAAAAAUGACAAAGAAACAGAGAGAACAAGGCGAUACAUCUAAUAAAGUCGGACAAUGUCACAUUGGACAACAAGAUAGUAGCCUUAGAAAUAAAUAGAUGAAGGAAACAAAUAAUUUACUCAUGAAGUGGUUGUGAAAAUAUAUUGUGGAAGUAGAGGUAAUUUUAAAAACGGUGAUUACAAAAGUGUGGGUUCAAAAAAGUGAAUGGUAUAUAUACAACCUUACAGGGCCAUAUGAAAGUGAAAUUUGGAUAACAUAUAAGAGCAUGUGGACUCUUUUAAACUAAUUAUGUUUUGUUUCAGGUGAUGGAAGAAAAUAGCAUUGGGGCGGCAUGGCACGACAACUGAAGAAGUCACAUACUUCUGUCUUGUAGCACCACGAC
rnacentral:lncRNA from 1 species